rnacentral:rRNA from 1 species
CCUACGGGGGGCUGCAGUGGGGAAUAUUGGACAAUGGGGGCAACCCUGAUCCAGCCAUGCCGCGUGUGUGAAGAAGGCCCUCGGGUUGUAAAGCACUUUCAGUGAGGAAGAACGCCUGGUGGUUAAUACCCAUCAGGAAAGACAUCACUCACAGAAGAAGCACCGGCUAACUCCGUGCCAGCAGCCGCGGUAAUACGGAAGGUGCGAGCGUUAAUCGGAAUUACUGGGCGUAAAGCGCGCGUAGGUGGCUUGAUAAGCCGGUUGUGAAAGCCCCGGGCUCAACCUGGGAACGGCAUCCGGAACUGUCAAGCUAGAGUGCAGGAGAGGAAGGUAGAAUUCCCGGUGUAGCGGUGAAAUGCGUAGAGAUCGGGAGGAAUACCAGUGGCGAAGGCGGCCUUCUGGACUGACACUGACACUGAGGUGCGAAAGCGUGGGUAGCAAACAGGAUUAGAUACCCUGGUAGUC